rnacentral:rRNA from 1 species
CACCAGCACCUCAAGUGGUCAGGAUGAUUAUUGGGCCUAAAGCAUCCGUAGCCGGCUCUGUAGGUUUUCGGUUAAAUCUGUACGCUUAACGUACAGGCUGCCGGGAAUACUGCAUAGCUAGGAAGUGGGAGAGGUAGACGGUACUCGGUAGGAAGGGGUAAAAUCCUUUGAUCUAUUGAUGACCACCUGUGGCGAAGGCGGUCUACCAGAACACGUUCGACGGUGAGGGAUGAAAGCUGGGGGAGCAAACCGG